AAUUCAGCAAUGACAGCCAGCCCUGCCCUAAUUGAGAAGUGCGCCCGGGCAUCGGAGGACACCUCACACAUUUUAAUUCACCGACACAGCACAGUUAGACUCUGGCAGAUUAGGAAGUGCGUGCUCGGCAUAUGAAAGAAAUGCAAAGCGCCGAUCUUGGCAGCAGAAGGGCGCCCCGUGGUGCGCUUACAAAGAAAAGCACUUUACGUUAUCCCUGAUUUUUUUCCCGUUAAAGUCCCCAUUACUAAAUAAUGCACGCCUUUUCAUGUAGCAUAAUUGCAGUUCUGUCAUUUGCCAAUCGGGUGUCUCCGAGGGGGUGUCUCACUGCGCGGGCUUUCAUUCUAACCCUUUUCUUGAUCAGACGUGAAUUCUGCACACCAGUUAAUACAGGAGGCCCACUGGAGAUUCCAGAACUGGACCGGAAUAGAAGACCAAUAUGAGGAAGAGACCGGGAGGAUCGAGAGAGAAGAAUCCGAAGAAUAAAGAAGACCAAAAGAGAAUCUAAUAGAAACCAUUCCGAUCUGAGAAGCUCCUGCACAUUUUGUUCUGAAAUCAAUUGAAAUUCAGAAAAUGCUGAAAAGUUGAAGGGAUAAUUUAAAGAAGUACUGGAAGAAUCUAAGGAAUCCAAUGGAACUUCCCCAGAAAAAGAUCUAGGAGAAGAAGAGUUUGAAGAGAAAUAAACCGAGAUUUGCGAGGAAGAACUGGAAUAAACUGAAAGGGCGUCUGCCAGCCUGGAGAUGUCCCAAUCUGUAAACGGAGGAAGUUGUGGCACCCCCGUAUUGCCUCCCGCUGGUGCCCCCGCUGUUGUCAGGUACCUGGAGAUAGAUGUUUUAACCUCGGCCCGGACCUCCCGGAGGAACCGACGCGUGUAACCUCUCUUACGUAAUGCCCGAAAAAGUAAUUGUGUGGCUGAUUCUGCAUCUAUUAAAUGUGUAUUGAUCCUAUAAAACCGUAUUA